rnacentral:rRNA from 1 species
UACGUAGGGGGCGAGCGUUGUCCGGAUUUAUUGGGCGUAAAGAGCGUGUAGGCGGCCAGGUAGGUCUGCUGUGAAAACUCGAGGCUCAACCUCGAGACGUCGGCGGAAACCAUCUGGCUAGAGUCCGGAAGAGGAGAGUGGAAUUCCCAGUGUAGCGGUGAAAUGCGUAGAUAUUGGGAGGAACACCAGUGGCGAAGGCGGCUCGCUGGACCGGUUCUGACGCUGAUGCGCGAAAGCGUGGGGAGCAAACGGG